rnacentral:rRNA from 1 species
CAUGCAAGUCGAACGAGAAAGGGUUCUUCGGAACCCGAGUACAGUGGCGAACGGGUGCGUAACACGUAGGCAACCUGCCCUUGAGUGGGGAAUAACUACCGGAAACGGUGGCUAAUACCGCAUGAAGACCAGAGAUCGCAUGAUCUUCGGUUGAAAGACUUCGGUCGCUCAAGGAUGGGCCUGCGGCGGAUUAGCUUGUUGGUGAGGUAAAAGCUCACCAAGGCUACGAUCCGUAGCUGGUCUGAGAGGAUGAUCAGCCACACUGGCACUGAGACACGGGCCAGACUCCUACGGGAGGCAGCAGUAAGGAAUCUUGCGCAAUGGAGGAAACUCUGACGCAGCCACGCCGCGUGAAGGAAGACACCCCUAUGGGGCGUAAACUUCUUUUAUAUGGGAAGAACCCCCUGCUCUGCAGGGUCUGACGGUACCAUAUGAAUAAGCACCGGCUAACUCCGUGCCAGCAGCCGCGGUAAUACGGAGGGUGCAAGCGUUGUCCGGAAUCACUGGGUGUAAAGGGUGUGUAGGCGGGGCAGUAAGUCAGAGGUGAAAGCCCACGGCUCAACCGUGGAAUUGCCUUUGAUACUGCUGUUCUUGAGUCCUGGAGAGGUCGCCGGAAUUCGUGGUGUAGCGGUGAAAUGCGUAGAUAUCACGAGGAACACCGGAGGUGUAGACGGGUGACUGGACAGGUACUGACG